GACGAACGCUGGCGGCGUGCCUAAUACAUGCAAGUCGAGCGCAGGAAGCUGACGGAACUCUUCGGAGGGAAGGCAGUGGAAUGAGCGGCGGACGGGUGAGUAACACGUAAGGCACCUGCCUCAAGGAUCGGGAUAACUCCGAGAAAUCGGAGCUAAUACCGGAUAGUUCAACGGACCGCAUGGUCCGCUGAUGAACGGCGCUCCGGCGUCACCUUGAGAUGGCCUUGCGGUGCAUUAGCUAGUUGGUGGGGUAGCGGCCCACCAAGGCGACGAUGCAUAGCCGACCUGAGAGGGUGAUCGGCCACACUGGGACUGAGACACGGCCCAGACUCCUACGGGAGGCAGCAGUAGGGAAUCUUCCACAAUGGACGAAAGUCUGAUGGAGCAACGCCGCGUGAGUGACGAAGGUUUUCGGAUCGUAAAACUCUGUUGUAAGGGAAGGACACGUACGAGAGGAAAUGCUCGUACCUUGACGGUACCUUACGAGAAAGCCACGGCUAACUACGUGCCAGCCGCCGCAGUAAGAC
rnacentral:rRNA from 1 species